rnacentral:rRNA from 1 species
GUCGUACGCUUCUUUUUCCCCGGAGCUUGCUCCACCGGAAAAAGAAGAGUGGCGAACGGGUGAGUAACACGUGGGUAACCUGCCCAUCAGAAGGGGAUAACACUUGGAAACAGGUGCUAAUACCGUAUAACAAUCGAAACCGCAUGGUUUUGAUUUGAAAGGCGCUUUCGGGUGUCGCUGAUGGAUGGACCCGCGGUGCAUUAGCUAGUUGGUGAGGUAACGGCUCACCAAGGCCACGAUGCAUAGCCGACCUGAGAGGGUGAUCGGCCACAUUGGGACUGAGACACGGCCCAAACUCCUACGGGAGGCAGCAGUAGGGAAUCUUCGGCAAUGGACGAAAGUCUGACCGAGCAACGCCGCGUGAGUGAAGAAGGUUUUCGGAUCGUAAAACUCUGUUGUUAGAGAAGAACAAGGAUGAGAGUAACUGUUCAUCCCUUGACGGUAUCUAACCAGAAAGCCACGGCUAACUACGUGCCAGCAGCCGCGGUAAUACGUAGGUGGCAAGCGUUGUCCGGAUUUAUUGGGCGUAAAGCGAGCGCAGGCGGUUUCUUAAGUCUGAUGUGAAAGCCCCCGGCUCAACCGGGGAGGGUCAUUGGAAACUGGGAGACUUGAGUGCAGAAGAGGAGAGUGGAAUUCCAUGUGUAGCGGUGAAAUGCGUAGAUAUAUGGAGGAACACCAGUGGCGAAGGCGGCUCUCUGGUCUGUAACUGACGCUGAGGCUCGAAAGCGUGGGGAGCAAACAGGAUUAGAUACCCUGGUAGUCCACGCCGUAAACGAUGAGUGCUAAGUGUUGGAGGGUUUCCGCCCUUCAGUGCUGCAGCUAACGCAUUAAGCACUCCGCCUGGGGAGUACGACCGCAAGGUUGAAACUCAAAGGAAUUGACGGGGGCCCGCACAAGCGGUGGAGCAUGUGGUUUAAUUCGAAGCAACGCGAAGAACCUUACCAGGUCUUGACAUCCUUUGACCACUCUAGAGAUAGAGCUUCCCCUUCGGGGGCAAAGUGACAGGUGGUGCAUGGUUGUCGUCAGCUCGUGUCGUGAGAUGUUGGGUUAAGUCCCGCAACGAGCGCAACCCUUAUUGUUAGUUGCCAUCAUUCAGUUGGGCACUCUAGCAAGACUGCCGGUGACAAACCGGAGGAAGGUGGGGAUGACGUCAAAUCAUCAUGCCCCUUAUGACCUGGGCUACACACGUGCUACAAUGGGAAGUACAACGAGUCGCGAAGUCGCGAGGCUAAGCUAAUCUCUUAAAGCUUCUCUCAGUUCGGAUUGUAGGCUGCAACUCGCCUACAUGAAGCCGGAAUCGCUAGUAAUCGCGGAUCAGCACGCCGCGGUGAAUACGUUCCCGGGCCUUGUACACACCGCCCGUCACACCACGAGAGUUUGUAACACCCGAAGUCGGUGA